GACGUAGGGCGCGAGCGUUGUCCGGAUUUAUUGGGCGUAAAGAGCUCGUAGGCGGCUUGUCGCGUCGUCCGUGAAAACCUGCAGCUCAACUGCAGGCUUGCGGUCGAUACGGGCAGGCUAGAGUUCGGUAGGGGAGACUGGAAUUCCUGGUGUAGCGGUGAAAUGCGCAGAUAUCAGGAGGAACACCGGUGGCGAAGGCGGGUCUCUGGGCCGAUACUGACGCUGAGGCGCGAAAGCUAGGGGAGCAAACGGG
rnacentral:rRNA from 1 species